UUUAAAUUUGUUGAGGCUUAUUUUUUUGGCCUAAAAUAUGGUCUAUCUUGGAGAAUGUUCUGUGUGCUAAAAAGAAGAAUGUGUAUUCUGCAAAUGUUUGAUAAAAUGUUCUGUGUUAAUGUUAGGCCCAUUUGAUCCAAAGGUCAGUUUAAAUCCAAUGUUUCUUUGUUGGCUGUUUUUUUUUGUCUAGAUGAUCUAAUGCUUAAGAGUAGGGUGUUGAAGCACCCCACUAUUAUUGUAUUGGAGUCUGUCUCUUUGCAUGGAGUAUGUUUUCCCUUCUCUUUGUUGUAAUUCUAUAGGUAAAGUGCAUUUCUUGUAGUUAGCAUACAGUUGGGUUAUGUUUUUUUACCCAUCAGGCAGUCUAUAUCUUUUAAAUGCAAUAUUUAACUGAUUUACAUUUAAGGUUAUUACUAGUAUGUCAGGUUUUGUUUCUGUCAUACUGUUGUUUUUAGGUUGUUUUGUAUAUUCUUUUUUUGUUUUUUUUUUGUUUUUGUUUUUGUUUUUAGAGACAGAGUCUUGCUCUGUCACCCAGGCUGGAGUGCAGUGGUGCGAUCUCGGCUCACUGCAAGCUCUGCCUCCCAGGUUCUUGCCAUACUCCUGCCUCAGCCUCCCCAGUAGCUGGGGCUAUGGGUGCCCACCACCAUGCCCGGCUAAUUUAUUGCAUUUUUAGUAGAGACGGGGUUUCACCAUGUUAGCCAGGAUGGGCUUGAUCUCCUGACCUUGUGAUCCCCCCCUCGGCCUCCCAAAGUACUGGGAUUACAGGCAUGAGCCACUGUGCCUGGCCUGUUCUUUUUCUCUUAUUGUAAUUGUGGUUUGGUGGUUUUCUGUAGUGGUACCAUGUGAGUUUGUUCUUUUCACUUGUGCAUUUGCUUUUCCAGUGAGUUUUUUACUUUCCUGUUUUCAUGAUGGUAAAUGGCAUCUGUUCCCUUCCACGUUUAAGAUUCUCUUGAGCCUUUCUGUAAGGCUGGUGUAGUGGUGAUUCUCUCAGCUUUUGCUUGUCUAGGAAAUAUUUUAUUUUUCCUUUAUUUAGCAAGGAUAAUUUUUCUGGAUAUAGUAUCUUUGGCUGUCAGGGCUUUUUUUUUUCUGUCAGCAUUUUGAAUAUAUCAUCAUCCUAUUCUCUCUUGGCAUGUAACAUUUCUGCUGAGAAGUCUGCUGUUAUUCUGAUGGGAGUUCCUUUAUAGGUACUAGACACUUUUCUCUUGUUUUUAGAAUUCUCUCCUUGUCUUUGACUUUUGAGUUUGACUAUAAUGUGCUAUGGAGAGGACCUUUUUGCACUGUUAUCUGUUUAGGGAUCUCUGAAUCUCCUGUAUCUGGAUAUCUAAAUCUCUUGCUAGACUAGAAAAGUUCUCCCCUCUUUGCCUUCUGGGACCCUGAUAAUUCAAGUAUUUCAUUGCUUUGUGUUGUCCCAUAUGUCAUGAAGUUUUUGCUCAUUACUUUUUAUUUUCUAUUUUUGCCUGAGUUAUUUCAAAAGACUUGUCUUCAAGUUCUGAGAUUAUUUCUUCUGCUUGACCUAAUUGGUUGUUUAAGAUUUUGGAUGUAUUUUGUAUUUCAUCCAAUGAAUUCUUGUAUUCCAGAAUUGGCUUUUUUCUUUUUUAUGAUAUCAUCGAUCUGUGUGGUAAAUUUCUCAUUCAUAUCUUUACAUUUUUGGUUUUUUUUUUUUAAGAGUUUUUGUGUAUCUCACUGAGCUGCUUUAGAAUCAGUUUUUCCCCUGGAUUUUAUGAAUUUUUGAUUGGAAUCUGUUAUUGCAGAAUUAGUGUUCCUUUAGAGCUGUCAAAUUUCCUUGACUUUUCAUGUUUUCUUUGUUCCUAUGUUGAUAUCUAUACAUCGGUAUAACAGUUGCUUCUUCCAAAUUUUUGACUUUGCUUUUGUAGAGGACUUUUUCCUGAAGGUGUGUCUAUGAUGCUGGUUGGGUAGGACACUUUCCCUUUGAUUCUGGGUGUACGCAGUAGCAUACUGUAUCAUUUAUUCAGUAGUAAAUGGAGUCAAUGGUAUCUGUGAUUUCCUUGGUGGCUUAGAGUGAGGUUAUUAGUGGAGGCUUUGGUGAUGUUUUGCUGGGGCCUGGUAUGCCAUGUUGGUUAGUCUUUUGGCUCCAUUACUGGCAACAGUGGGCUGUGUCUGCACUUGGCUCAAGGCAAGGGAAGCUGGCACUGGUGUUAGUGGGUCCAUGCAGGCUAAUUCUUGGGCCUCCAGGUGGCUUACUCAAGCGCUAAUAGUGGCAGCAAUGAGUCAGUCAGGCAGGUUCUUGGUCCCCUGGGUGGCUGGCAUGGCAUGGGCAAUGACGGGAAUAGUGGUAGGACAACAAUCUGGGUCCAAGUGGUGUGCAUCAGUGCUGGUAGUGGCCUGGUGGGUAGGCCCAACCUCAGGCCCCUUGCAGGAGUGUUCAGGUGCCAAUGGGGGUGGAGUGUACUAAGCAAUCCUUUGGUCCUUGGAUUGUGUACUGUGACGCUGUGGCACAGGGUCAGGGGGAGGUGAAGCCAGGCCAGGUGGGCUUGUCUUCAGGCUGCCUGGUGGUGAGUUCAGGUGCCAACCAUGGUAGGCAGGAGUAUGCUUGCCAGCCACCUGUGGAAUGCUUUGGUGGUAGGUGGCAGCAGCCUUCAGUGGUGGGCAGCCUAGGCCAGCAGAUGGGGAACACGUGUAUCACUCAUGCAAUAGCUUAUGCUGGGGUAGCCUGUGCCUCACCCAUGCCUCAGACCUGGUAUGACUGCCCAAGGUUGCUCAUGCCUAAACCCUAGAAGCAGCAGCCAUACUUCUCUUGUGCCUCAAGCCCUGGCAUUGCUGGGUUCCAGAACAUACAUGGUCUACUGUUGGGAGGCUCUAAGACAGUGCCUUGCUUUAGCUGCUUACGUCUUAAGGUGUGUGUGAAACCCAGUGUGAGCUUCCUCCCUGAAGCAGUGCCAUAGUAUAAUCUCCUGGCAGCUCCCUAUGUUAAUUUCAGGGCCUGUGACGAUCAAGGGGCUCUCCCAUGGUAGGGUUGCAGGAGUCCAUGGUAGAAAUGUGGACUGCUGAUGGUCUGUCACUUACCUUUUCCCUGUACUGGGGAGUCCCUUUUGACUGCUAGACAUUCCUGGACAGGCAGGCGUUCCCACUUCCUUCUUAAGUAUUUCCUAUCCCUUUGCUGUUGACUUCCAGUAUUCUCUCUUGGAUGAUCUAUUUGAAGUGUGAUUAUCUACUCACCACUGUGGUUCUUCUUGGUGGAGGCGGCAACUACUAAAUGCUUCUAGUCAGCUGUCCUGAAGUGCCUGUUGGAAUUUGGUGCUUAAAAUAAUUUCUUAGUUGAUUUCCAAUUUUGUUUGGUUUUUCUGUGUUCUCCUUUAGUUCUUUGAGUGUAUUUUGAAGUCUUUAGUACAUCUGAUGCUUUAGGUUAAGGGACAGUUUCUGCACAUUUUUUCCUAUGAAUAGACCAUGUUUUGUUCUUUGUAUGCCUUGUGAUCUUUUGUUGAAAACUGGACAUCUGAAAAACAGCCAAGUUUCCCAGUCUUUGCAGACUGGCUCCAUGCCAGGAGGGACCUCCACUCACUAGUAAGAUGUGUUCUGACCUUUAGCAUCAUCCCACGAUGAAGCCCCAAAGACCCUCCAGGACUUUGCUUGGUAAGGGUCUUGCCUGAGGCCCUGUGUGUAUUUGUUUUUAUUCUGUUACACCACGCUUUUAAAUUUUUUACUUUUCCAAAGAGUCUUCCUGUACCUUGUUCUAGUCCAUAGGUCUGCAGUCCUGCAGCUUUCAGUUACCCACCACUUUCUAUGGCUUUUCCAAGGCUGCGCUCUAAGUAUACCACUUUUCCUCAUCCAAGCUCCAAGUUAGGCAAAACAGAGACCAGUUCUUCAGCAGCCCCCAAAAUGUUGCAAAUAAGAUCUGUCCUGCUCCCUCCUACUUGAGGGAGGUCACUGGUACCUGGGCUGCUGCUUCCUCCCAACACUACCACACUGUGGAGAGGGUGGGGCAAGCCUGAGUAAAACUACCACAAAAUUUCUUACCAUUUUGAAUGUGACUUUUCCUUGAUUGGGCAUUAGCUUGGUUCUUGUAGACCUUUGCCUUUCAGAGUUCCCAUAAAGUUUUCUUUAGUCAGUCUCUACUUGUAAUCUUUCCAUGGGGAAUGAAGACAUGUAGCUGCCUAUUCUUCUUGCUGCUGUAUAGUCCAAGCACAGUGCAAAAAUAAAAUGUACAGCAUAACAAGUUAUUUUACAACAGACACAUGUAAUCAUAAUGCAACUCAAAAAACAGAACAUUUGUAAAACUUAGUAAGUUCCCUGCUUACCAAAUCACUGAUAUCCCUCGCCCUCCCUUCCCAAAGCUGACCAUUAUUUUAACUUUGUGGGCAAUGAUGUCUUUGCUUUGCUUUAUACUUUAACAGUUAUGUAUACAUCCCUAAACAAAAUAUAAUAAUCUUGCCUGUUUGGGAACUAUAAACAGAAACGUAUGUUACAUAUCCUUUUGUCUGAUUCUUUAAUGUUUUUACCAAUGUUUUUUCCAUAUAAAGGUAUCUUUUCUCCUUGUAUUUCUUUUUAUGAAUAUACUGCUGUCAACUUGUCUAUUUAUGUUUAAGAUUUAGAAUGGCUGGAUAUAGGAAUAUGUAUAUUGUCAGUUGCACUAACUAAUGCCAAAGUUUUCCAUAGUGGUUUUUACCAGCAAUAUAUGGGAGCUCAUUUAUGCAUACCUUCUCCAAUUAGCCAAUCUGGUGGACAGUAUGUUCAUUUUCAUGUAUUUAUUUGCCAUUUGGGUUUUUCUUCUGUUAAGGGCUAAUAAAAAUAUUUUGUUUUCCUAAG
rnacentral:lncRNA from 1 species